rnacentral:rRNA from 1 species
GACGAACGCUGGCGGCGUGCCUAAUACAUGCAAGUAGAACGCUGAAGAGAGGAGCUUGCUCUUCUUGGAUGAGUUGCGAACGGGUGAGUAACGCGUAGGUAACCUGCCUUGUAGCGGGGGAUAACUAUUGGAAACGAUAGCUAAUACCGCAUAACAAUGGAUGACACAUGUCAUCUAUUUGAAAGGGGCAAUUGCUCCACUACAAGAUGGACCUGCGUUGUAUUAGCUAGUAGGUGAGGUAACGGCUCACCUAGGCGACGAUACAUAGCCGACCUGAGAGGGUGAUCGGCCACACUGGGACUGAGACACGGCCCAGACUCCUACGGGAGGCAGCAGUAGGGAAUCUUCGGCAAUGGGGGCAACCCUGACCGAGCAACGCCGCGUGAGUGAAGAAGGUUUUCGGAUCGUAAAGCUCUGUUGUAAGUCAAGAACGAGUGUGAGAGUGGAAAGUUCACACUGUGACGGUAGCUUACCAGAAAGAGACGGCUAACUACGUG